rnacentral:rRNA from 1 species
UACGUAGGGCGCAAGCGUUGUCCGGAAUUAUUGGGCGUAAAGAGCUCGUAGGCGGUCUGUUGCGUCCGCUGUGAAAACUCGGGGCUUAACCCCGAGCCUGCAGUGGAUACGGGCAGACUAGAGGUAGGUAGGGGAGAAUAGAAUUCCCGGUGUAGCGGUGAAAUGCGCAGAUAUCGGGAGGAACACCGGUGGCGAAGGCAGCUCGCUGGGACGGUACUGACGCUGAGACGCGAAAGCGUGGGGAGCAAACAGG